GUACUGCUGAUGAGUCGCAAAACGGGACGAAACAGCUGUCCAGUAC
rnacentral:hammerhead_ribozyme from 1 species